GACGAACCGUGCGAACGUUGUUCGGAAUCACUGGGCUUAAAGGGCGCGUAGGCGGGCUGCCAAGUCUGUGGUGAAAUCCUCCAGCUUAACUGGAGAACUGCCGUGGAUACUGGCGGCCUCGAGGGUGAUAGGGGUCGGUGGAACUGUGCGUGGAGCGGUGAAAUGCGUUGAUAUGCACAGGAACUCCGGUGGCGAAGGCGACCGACUGGAUCACUUCUGACGCUGAGGCGCGAAAGCUAGGGGAGCGAACGGGAUUAGAUACCCCGGUAGUCCUAGCCCUAAACGUUGAGAACUAGCUAGUAGGCUUGACAUGGGCUUACUGGCGAAGCAAAAGUGCUAAGUUCUCCGCCUGGGGAGUAUGGUCGCAAGACUGAA
rnacentral:rRNA from 1 species